AUUUAACUGAUGAGUUCUAAAUAGGACGAAACUCGCGUCCUGGAU
rnacentral:hammerhead_ribozyme from 1 species